rnacentral:pre_miRNA from 1 species
CUCAUUGCAUGAGCUGUGUAUAUUGUUAUUCCAUACCCAGAGCGUGCAGUGUGAA